rnacentral:rRNA from 1 species
UACGAAGGGGGCUAGCGUUGCUCGGAAUUACUGGGCGUAAAGCGCACGUAGGCGGCUCUUUAAGUCGGGGGUGAAAUCCUGGAGCUCAACUCCAGAACUGCCUUCGAUACUGGAGAGCUCGAGUCCGGGAGAGGUGAGUGGAACUGCGAGUGUAGAGGUGAAAUUCGUAGAUAUUCGCAAGAACACCAGUGGCGAAGGCGGCCAUCUGGAUCAACACUGACGCUGAGGCACGAAAGCGUGGGGAGCAAACAGG